rnacentral:SRP_RNA from 1 species
CCGUGCUAAGCGGGAAGGUAGCGGUGUCCUGUACUCGCAAUCCGCUAUAGCGAGGCCGAAUUCCCACCCAAGGUGGGGCGGUUUCAAGGUCUGCCUUGAGGGAUUGGUGUUGACACCCGGGUCCCGCACAAUGGGAACCCGUAAAUCCUGUCAGGUCCGGAAGGAAGCAGCAGUAAGCGGUCAUUCCCGUGUGUUGCGGGACAGCCCGGGUCGAGCCAUGAACUCAAGUAACGCUUGGGGCCGCCUCAUCGACGGUGGGUGCACGG